UACAGAGGGUGCGAGCGUUUAAUCGGAAUUACUGGGCGUAAAGCGCACGUAGGCGGCUUGGUAUGUCGGGUGUGAAAUCCCCCGGGCUCAACCUGGGAACUGCAUCCGAAACUGCCUUGCUAGAGUAUGGGAGAGGGAAGUGGAAUUUCCGGUGUAGCGGUGAAAUGCGUAGAUAUCGGAAGGAACAUCAGUGGCGAAGGCGACUUCCUGGACCAAUACUGACGCUCAGGUGCGAAAGCGUGGGGAGCAAACAGG
rnacentral:rRNA from 1 species